rnacentral:rRNA from 1 species
UACGUAGGGUGCAAGCGUUAAUCGGAAUUACUGGGCGUAAAGCGUGCGCAGGCGGUUGUGCAAGACAGAUGUGAAAUCCCCGGGCUUAACCUGGGAACUGCAUUUGUGACUGCACGGCUAGAGUGCGGCAGAGGGGGAUGGAAUUCCGCGUGUAACAGUGAAAUGCGUAGAUAUGCGGAGGAACACCGAUGGCGAAGGCAAUCCCCUGGGCCUGCACUGACGCUCAUGCACGAAAGCGUGGGGAGCAAACAGG